rnacentral:misc_RNA from 1 species
UGGAAAAUUUAUUGAUGCAAAAUUUGUUUGCAGUAGAUAUGGAAGUAAGCGUGAACCUUCUACUUCUGGCGCAGAACCUGUUCCAAGUACUGAUGCAGCAGGAAGUAAUCCCGUGAAAAGAAAAAAAGGCAGAAUAAACAGGUCUUGGUCAAAAACAGAUUGUAAGGCUUGCUUGCAUGUAAAGAGAAGGUCUGAUGGAAGGUGGGUUAUUCAUACUUUUGUCAAAGAGCAUAACCAUGAAAUAUUUCCGGAUUGGACCAGUUAUCCUCCAGGUCACAGGAACAUUGAUCUGGGUAAAAAUGAUGCAGAUGCAUUUCAUGCUAUCCGUGGGAGGACGAAAAAG